UCUCUCUCUCUCGCGAUGUGCCGCCGAAGCGUGGGAGCUCCAAGCUCUUCGCCGCCCCUUCUUCCCCUCUCUCCUCAUCUGCCAGAGCAUCGUCGGCCGGGACGGCACCUUCCACACCGAUCAGGCCGUCAAGUACGGUGCCGAGAUGAUCAUGGCGUUUUUAUGGUGGCCUUUGGGAUUAUGGCUGAAACCCCUGAAGCGAACCACGAUCUUUGAAGGAGGAAGGAAACCCCCCCUCUUGCGUGUGGAACUGAACACUUUGGUCUUCCGGUCUUCAAUACUGUUGCUUAAUGGCUGAGACCAAAGCUGGUGUGAGCUAUUUAUGUUCCCCCACCGUACUCUGCUGCAAUUAUGGAGGCUGAGUUAAAAGAUCCUGUUGUGUGCAUUUCUGAAGGAAUUACUCGGCAUGACAAUGGUGUCAGAUCUAAUUGCUCCUAUCGAUUCAUCUUAUACACAUUUGCUUAUCUUCUUCUUUUAUCUCAUUUUUAUAUUUGUAAUUAAUUAAACUUGUUGAUCGAAUUUAAAAUUAUUACUAUUUUGGAAAUUUUGCUAGCAAGGUUUUUGCCA